AAGAGAGAAGCAUGGUGCAGUGGCCAGCAGUACGGGCGAAGGCAGAAGGGAAGACGGAGGUCUGGGUUUCGAGCCUUACCUCGCGCACGAAAGGCCUGGAUUUUUGCUGCUCACGUGGGGGAGAGGCAGGGUUUGACCGAAACUCUCCUAGCCAUGGCUUGAGUCGGUCAAGCGGUGGACUACAGCUGAUGGUGCAAGGAAGUUGGAUAGGAUUUAAAUUGGUAGGGGCU
rnacentral:lncRNA from 1 species